GGCGGCACUCAGCUUACACUCUCCGGUCCCCCACUCAACUGAAAAUGAAUAAGAGAUGCGUGUUGAAUGCCAAAUAACAUUCUGAAUCUCCCCACAGUAAACGCAUUUUCAAAGUGUCUUUAUUAUUACAGUGCCUUCGUUAUUACUGUAAGUGUAUAUUUAUAGUUAUGUGAUGUAAAUACUGUUAAAUAGCGUCAACUGAUAUAUUAUCUGCAUGGCUAACGUCUAACUUACUGUGGUGCUCUGGUCUAGUCUGCCUCAUUGGUCAUUGAUGGAUAUACGAUUUAUAUUUUUAAAGACGUCAGAAGUAAGAAGUGCAAAUAGGAAGAGAGGAGGGUGGAGAGAGAUCACAGACAGACAGAAAGAGAGAGAAACGCUUCCAUAAGCAGGUGAGAAAUUGUUCUGUCAAUGAAGUCAAAAAUUGUUAUUCUUAUGUAGCUUUAUAGUUACUGGAUUAGCCUUCAGCAAACAUGUUUGCCUAUUUUUGGAUAAGAGAAGUUAAAGUAUCAUUGUCAAAAUUUGUUAUGUUGCAGUUUCAAAAUGACAAUACCAGUGUUGGGUAAGUUACUAAAAAAGUAAUUAAUUACUAGUUACUAAUUACAUCUUCAAUCAUGUAAUUAAAUUACUUUACAAAUUACUCCAAAAAGUAUUUAAUUAUUACUAAUUACUUUCUAAAUCCUAUUUAGUACAUGAUACAAGGAUAGGCUUGAAAUGGCUCGAAGAAACAAUAUAUAAAAGUACAUCAAUUAUUCUGGUCCCACUUUAGGGUUCAUUUCUCUCUAUUAAUUAACUAUUAACUACUUUUGCCUCAAAUACUCCAACUACU